AGAAGGUAGUAUGGAGAUUUGCUAAUAUUCAAGCAGUCUAUCGGUUUUUGACUAUUGGAAUAUAAACAAUUACAAGAAUAUAUCAUAAAUCUAUACGGAUGUCCUUCGACUGCUAGCCAAAAUCCUUUUUGUCCCAGCCGAUAGGUCUCUAGACGUUACAGAGAACCCCGAACAAUCCAAAUUGCUAAUCUUCGAUACCGCUUUAUACUCACGAUCUUGUAUCUACUGAUUGUCUCGUUAGAUUCACCCAAUAAAUUUCAUUCACUCUGCAUACUCAAUCCUAUAGACACCCUUUUAAUUCUUCAUCACAGACGUAACUCGAUUUCACAAAACAAUCAAGAGUAUUCACACCCACUUCAUUAAAAUCCCGAUUCACCAGUACAACACUGACUUCAGCAACGAUUGCCUCAAUCUUCUCAAAACCCUACGAAGAAAAAAAAAAUCCCAAUUCUCUGUCUUUUUUCCUUGCCUA
rnacentral:lncRNA from 1 species